rnacentral:rRNA from 1 species
AAUGGAGGAAACUCUGAUCCAGCAAUUCUGUGUGCACGAUGAAGGUUUUCGGAUCGUAAAGUGCUUUCAGUAGGGAAGAAGAAAGUGACGGUACCUACAGAAGAAGCGACGGCUAAAUACGUGCCAGCAGCCGCGGUAAUACGUAUGUCGCAAGCGUUAUCCGGAAUUAUUGGGCGUAAAGGGCAUCUAGGCGGUCAAUCAAGUCGAAGGUGAAAACUUGUGGCUCAACCAUAAGCUUGCCUACGAAACUGAUUAACUAGAGUACUGGAGAGGUGGACGGAACUACACGAGUAGAGGUGAAAUUCGUAGAUAUGUGUAGGAAUGCCGAUGAUGAAGAUAGUUCACUGGACAGAAACUGACGCUGAAGUGCGAAAGCUAGGGGAGCAAA